CCUACGGGAGGCAGCAGUGGGGAAUAUUGCGCAAUGGGCGAAAGCCUGACGCAGCGACGCCGCGUGUGGGAUGAAGGUCUUCGGAGCGUAAACCUCUGUCAGCAGGGAAGAACGGUCACUGUGCUAAUCAGCAGUGAAUUGACGGUACCUGCAAAGGAAGCACCGGCUAACUCCGUGCCAGCAGCCGCGGUAAUACGGAGGGUGCGAGCGUUAAUCGGAAUUACUGGGCGUAAAGCGCUCGUAGGCGGUAUGUCAAGUCAAGGGGGAAAUCCCCGCGCUCAACGUGGGAACUGCCUUUGAAACUGGCAAACUGGAGUGUGUGAGAGGAUAGUGGAAUUCCAGGUGUAGGAGUGAAAUCCGUAGAUAUCUGGAGGAACAUCAGUGGCGAAGGCGACUAUCUGGCACAUAACUGACGCUGAGGAGCGAAAGCGUGGGUAGCAAACAGGAUUAGAUACCCCAGUAGUC
rnacentral:rRNA from 1 species